rnacentral:rRNA from 1 species
UACGUAGGGUGCGAGCGUUGUCCGGAUUUAUUGGGCGUAAAGAGCUCGUAGGCGGUUUGUCGCGUCGGCCGUGAAAUCUCCACGCUUAACGUGGAGCGUGCGGUCGAUACGGGCAGACUUGAGUUCGGUAGGGGAGACUGGAAUUCCUGGUGUAGCGGUGAAAUGCGCAGAUAUCAGGAGGAACACCGGUGGCGAAGGCGGGUCUCUGGGCCGAUACUGACGCUGGAGGAGCGAAAGCCGUUGGGGAGCAAACAGG